rnacentral:tRNA from 1 species
GCGUUCCCCUGAUAAGGGAAAGGUCAGUGGUUCGAAUCCACUUAGGCCCA